GAAACCCCCUCGCCGAAAGACUAAGGUUUCCUGAUCAACGCUAAUCGGAUCAGGGUCAGUCGGGUCCUAAGGCUCAGCCGAACGGCGAUGCCGAUGGCAGAAACGGUUAAUAUUCCGUUACUACCUUCAGGAGUGACGUGGAGACGCAGUAGUGACAGUGCCGCCAUCUGACGGAAUAGAUGGUUGAAGGGUGUAGGAGUCGAUCAUGGCAGGCAAAUCCACCAUGAGAUCCGAACCUGAUAGUAUGCCGCGUCCUUCGGGACAAGGCAAUAGUGCGCGUAAGCAUGCUGCCGAGAAAAUCCGCUAAACUUAAUCCUGCAGGUACCCGUACCGCAAACGGACACACGUAGUCGGGUUGAAUAUACUAAGGCGCUUGAGUGAUUCACGGUUAAGGAACUAGGCAAACUGACCCUGUAACUUCGGGAUAAAGGGUCCCUACCCUUUUAUGGGAGGGCGCAGAGAAUCGGUCCAGGCAACUGUUUAACAAAAACACAGGGCUGUGCCAAAUCGAAAGAUCCAGUAUACAGCCUGACACCUGCCCGGUGCUGGAAGGUUAAGAGGAGAUGUCAUCGAUAAGAGAAGCGUUGAAUUGAAGCCCCAGUAAACGGCGGCCGUAACUAUAACGGUCCUAAGGUAGCGAAAUUCCUUGUCGGGUAAGUUCCGACCUGCACGAAUGGUGUAAUGAUCUGGACGCUGUCUCAACCGUGAGCUCAGUGAAAUUGUAGUAUCGGUGAAGAUGCCGAUUACCCGCGAUGGGACGAAAAGACCCCGUGAACCUUUACUAUAGCUUAUCAUUGAAUCUGGGCACGUGAUGUGUAGGAUAGGUCGGAGGCUUUGAAGCAGGUACGCCAGUAUUUGUGGAGCCGCUGUUGAAAUACGACCCUUUAUUUGUUUGGAUUCUAACCCGUGGAACGGGGACAUUGAUUGGUGGGUAGUUUGACUGGGGUGGUCGCCUCCAAAAGCGUAACGGAGGCUUCUAAAGGUGCCCUCCGGCCGAUUGGUAACCGGCCUUAGAGUGUAAUGGCAUAAGGGCGCUUGACUGGGAGACUGACAAGUCGAUCAGGUAGGAAACUAGAGCAUAGUGAUCCGGUGUUUCCGUAUGGAAGGGACAUCGCUCAAAGGAUAAAAGGUACUCCGGGGAUAACAGGCUGAUCCCUCCCAAGAGCUCAUAUCGACGGAGGGGUUUGGCACCUCGAUGUCGGCUCGUCACAUCCUGGGGCUGGAGAAGGUCCCAAG
rnacentral:rRNA from 1 species